ensembl:misc_RNA 7SK 7SK RNA
GAAUGUGAGGGUGACCUGGCUGUGACAAGCCACCCCACUGAUUAUCAGUGUUUUUUUCAAGUGAUCACACUGGCUUGUUGGGAGUCCCCUUUAUCCUCCACAGUUGCAUAUCUGUUCUUUGUAAAGCAGUAUAUUCAGGCAAAAAGGACACUUGGUCUGUGUGUUUCUUAACACCAUAGGACAGCCCACAAUGAUGCCUGUUUAGGUUAAUAUUAAAUG